UGUGAAUACCUCUCACCCAACCCUGCCUCUGUAACUGAACUUGUAUACUCCUUGCCCCUACCCUCCAGCACUGUAACUGAACUUACUCUGCAGCACCCCCACCCCCCAAAAAAACUACCCAAAUCUAUAACACUGCCCUUUGCUAAUGCCCUUUUCAGCCUUAGCCCACCUGCACCCAGGCGAAUAAACAGCCAUGUUGCUCACACAAAGCCUGUUUGGAAGGUCGCUUCAUUCAAAGCGCGUGUUUUUUCAACAUUUGGUGCUGAAACCCGGCACAGGGGAACUCCUACAGAAGACCAAACCCCCGACCCUGUUCUUGUGCUCCUCCAUGAAGAGAUCUACCUACUGACCUGGGGUCAUCAGACCAGCCCACAGACACACACCACUGGCUAUUUUGGCAUAGUGCUAGCCGUGGAGACCAGAGUGGUGGGCAACGCAGACGCGACCCUGUCGUCACAGAACUUAGAGUUUAGAGAAGAUGGACAAUGCUGCGAAGCAGUAGGAAGUGCCCCGCAGUCUGACUACUUCAGCAGAGAGACUGGCCUUAUGGCGGGAGACCCCGGCGCUCAGGCAGGGCGGGGCGCGCUGCGGGUGUCCAGGGUGCGGAGACUGUGACAGCUCCACAAACUCGGUGUGGACACCCGAGCCAGUCGGCUUUUGCUGGACAAUUAAGUCCCCACAAUUAAGUCCAAAAAUCCCCCUCCGAGUGGCGCUGGCAAGAAUGAUUUAGGGCCACAGUCUGGUUGGGCGAGGAGUGGGGAAUUGUCCCGAGAUGUCUCUGCAGACUCCGCGGCGGCACUCUCCCGGGCUGCCGGCUCGGCUGCGCCACUGAGGCAAGUUGAGGACCCCGCCCGUCCGCCCCAUCCCUCCAUCCCCAACUCUCCUCCACCCCCAACUCCCCUCCGCCCCAAACUCCCCUCCGUCCCAAAUCCCCUCACCCCUCCGCCCGCCGCCGCCCCUGCUCUCCCUCCGCUCCCCCGUCUCUCUCCUCACCCCACUCCUCCGGCUCCCUCCUAACCCCCCAACGCCCUUUCUCCUCACCCCUCCGGCCCUGCUUCCCCCACCCGUCCUCCGGCCUCACACCUCUGCCUCACCAGUGGGUCAGGACCUGCCCGGGAGGCUUCCCCAUAGGCCAGUGCCCGCGGUGCUUUCAGUGGCCCAGGGAAAGAUUUUAAUUUUCUUCUUCUUUUCUUUUCUUUUUUUUUUUUUCAGACGAAAUCUCGCUCUGUGGCCCAGGCUGGAGUGCAGAGCCGCGAUCUCGGGUCAGGUCACUGCAACCUCCGCCUCCUAGGUUCAAGCGAUUCUCCUGCUUCAUCCUCCUGAGUAGCUGGGACUACAGGCCUGUGCCACCAUACCUGGCUACUUUUUGUGUUUUUAGUCAGGCUGGUCUCUAAGUCCUGACUGGUGAUCCGCCCGCCUCGGCCUCCCGAAGUGCUGGAAUUACAGGUGUGAGCCACGGCGCCUGAACAGAAGAAAGAAGUGAAUGUGCCAACAUUGGAUCUGUAACUAAAAGUCUAGUCCGGGUCGUGUUCACCUUCAUACACUAAGUCGUGAUGACCACCUGCAUCUUCAGGUGGCUGCACUGGUGGCACAGCCCUGGGAGUGCCGGGGGAGGGGCGGAGGGCCGAGGCUGCAGGGAAGAGAGGGGAAGCCCAGGGGUAAGGGGCGGCCAGCCAGGCCAGGCCCUGUGGGAAGGGAAGGAUGGAAGUCACUGGGAGGCUUAAGGGGGCAAAACUUGAUGUUAUAAAGAGCACGCUGAGGCGGGGCUCACGCCCAUAAUCCCAGAACUUUGGGAGGAAGAGGCGGGCAGAUUGCUUGAGAUCGGGCAUUUCAAACCAGCCUGGACAACAUAGGAAGACCCCCUUCUCUACAAAAAAAUACAAAUAUUCCCCUGGCAUGAUGGCACGGGCCUCCGGUCCCAGCUCCUCGGGAGGCUGAGGUUGGAGGAUCGCUUGAGCCUGGGAGGUUGAGGCUGCAGUAAGCCGAGAUUGCAGCGCUGCACUCCAGCCUGGGCGACAGAGCCAGAACCUGUAAAGAAAAAAAAAGCACUCUGGCUACUGUGUGGGAACAGAAGACAAGGGGAAGAGGCAAGUGGAAGUGGGAAGAGCCCAGAGGUCCCGUGGCAGCUGAGCGCGGAGGGUGAGGGCUUCUCAGGGCAGGUAGGGAAAGGUCCGCCAAAGCAGGGCCCUAAACAACAGGAGUUCAUUUCCUUUCACACUCACAGAGGCUGGAAAUCCAAACCAAGGUGUAGGGAGGCUGAUCUGUUCCAGGCCUUUCUCCUAGCUUGAUGUCUAAUGGUCAUUCCCUGGCUGGUUGGUUGCUGCCUUCUCUCUGUGACUUUCUCGUUUUUUCCUUUCCUUUCUUUCCUUUCUUUUCUCUCCCUCUCUCUUUCGAUAGGGUCUUGCUCUGUUGCCCAGUCUGGAGUGCAGUGAUCUAAGCUCACUGCAGCCUCCAUCUUUUGGCUUCAAGCCAUCCUCCCACCUCAGCCUCUCGUGUGCUGGGAUCCUAGGCACAAGCCACCGCACCUGGCCCCACCUUCCCUUUUGAAUGCCCUCAGGAUGCAGGGCACUUUCUCUCCCCGCCCCCUCUUUCGGUUCCCAGGCCCAGCUCUCCCUCCUCCUUCAAACUGGAUCCAGCCCUCCUGCAGCCUGGCCUGUAUGCAGCCGCAGGAGAGGAGUAAGCCAGCCUCUCCUGUGCAGCACUGUCUCACAGGUUUAGUGGUAGGGCUGGUGCUUUGCAUGCCAGCCCGGCACCAGGUGGAGGCCCAGGGCCAAUGAGAUUCUGAUCAAAGGGAGCUGACAAAUGAGACAGCAAAGGCACCUCAGAGACCACGAAGUCCUUCAGAUGGAAGUGGUCAUCUCCCAAAAGCCUCCCUAGACCUCUGCCUGCAAGUCCAGCCCACGCAUCUUGGACCCAAGCCAGAGAUACAGACAGCUGGGUGGUGAUGCCCACGGGCAGCUCCACGACCCCCGGGACCCUCCACCAGGCUGGAACCUGCGCCAGGCUUCUUUGGAAACUUCUCUUCAGGACACUCUUCUGUGGUUCCUGAAAAAGGGAGUCUACAUGAAUUAAUAAGUGAAGAUGAGAAGGAAAGAAGGAAGAAAGAGAGGGAGGGAGGGAGGGACCUUACUUCCUACUUGGCAACAGCUCUAUGGCAGGGAUUAUUUUACUCUUGGUUCCAUCCCAUCAUCUAGAAAACAGCCUGGCAAGUAGGAGGUGAUCAAUAAAUGUGAUAGAACAAUUGAAAUUAAUUACUUU
rnacentral:lncRNA from 13 species